AUUCAUAGGUUGUUUUUCUUAUAAAAUAUUGUUAAAUUUUAAUGAUCCCAUUUGCAGCCAUUUCUCGUUGGAUUAAGCUCUGGGAUCAUCUUCAUCUCGCACCUCCUCAUUUGGCACUCAAAUAGUAGCGCAAGUCGCAAGAUGUUUUAUGCUUAAAGAUGUUGUGAAAUUAACCAAUGCAACUUUCAGUGCUGGAAGACCAAGGACCUCAAGUUCAAGUCCAUUAAAAGGCUAGACAAGGAUGCCAAGAUAUGCAUUCUUAGUGAAAUGCAACUCAUACCUUAAAAGAUUA